AUUCUAUCUACAGCUGCUGACGUUUCCAGUUACCAUGCAGGAAGACAGGUAGGAGGAGAUCAUCAUAUGGAUUCUGGCAAAGAGAUUUGCAGAGUGUCGGGUGACCGGCAAAGAGAUCUGCAAAGUGUCAGUUGAAGACGACGGGAGGGGUCGCAGAGGCAGCAAGGACUGGAGUAUAACAUGCAGAAGUGGGUGAUGCCUGAGUUUCCUGGGAGGAGAGCCUGCGGACACCUGCUCCAAAUGUUGGGACUUAUGUAUUACCUAUGAGGAGAUGCAGUAAAGAUG